GACGAACGCUGGCGGCGUGCUUAACACAUGCAAGUCGAACGAUGAAGCUCAGCUGGCUGGGUGGAUUAGUGGCGAACGGGUGAGUAACACGUGAGUAACCUGACCCUGACUAUGGGAUAAGCGUUGGAAACGACGUCUAAUACUGGAUAUGACUACUGGUCGCAUGGCAUGGUGGUGGAAAGAUGCUUUGGUUGGGGAUGGAAGCGGGGCCUAUCAGCCUGUUGGGGAGGUAAUGGCUCACCAAGGCGACGACGGGUAGCCGGCCUGGGAGGGUGACCGGCCACGCUGGGACUGAGACACGGCCCAGACUCCUACGGGAGGCAGCAGUGGGGAAUAUUGCACAAUGGGCGAAAGCCUGAUGCAGCAACGCCGCGUGAGGGAUGACGGCCUUCGGGUUGUAAACCUCUUUUAGUAGGGAAGAAGCGAAAGUGACGGUACCUGCAGAAAAAGCACCGGCUAACUACGUGCCAGCCGCCGCAGUAAAAC
rnacentral:rRNA from 1 species